AUGUGAUCUGCUCUGUUGUCUGCAGUAUGCAUGCAUGCAUGCAUCAGUGAGUUUCAGGCUCUUUGUUGGCUGGAUGGAGGCGGGGCGCUGCGGGGCCGCAGGUCCUUUUGUGCCCCUCACAUUUUGGGCAAAACCAGAACCACCGCGCUGCAGACGCGCCAAAAGCAUGAAACCGGACUAUACAAAAAUAAAAACUUAACAAGCAGCGAUGUCCGGUACAGCGAUGUGAUUUAAACACAGUGUUUGGGGAACGCUGUGAAAUUGUAGGUGAGUCAUAAACUCCUUGAUGGACAAGAAGAAAAACUUUAUAUGUUUUGAUUAUUAUUAUUAUUAUUUGUUGCGGUUAUUUAGUUAAGUGUCUUGUUAUCUUUAUAGACAUACGUUAUUUUUUGUGUUGUGCAUUUUUGUCUGCUGGACUGUUCGCUGGUCACCAGAUUACCCCGUUACUAAGCAACCAGUCCUCUAGAACAGUGAUUCUCAACUAGCAGGCGUUCGUCAGGAAUACUUGGAACGAUUACGAUUUCGCGUUGUUUAAAAUUUGAAAAGCAAAAGAAAACUGAAGUUAAACGUAAACUAUUUAUCUGUCAGUAGGGUAUGUUAAAAUAAAUAAUAGUGAAUAAUGCCAUUGAUGCCCGAAAUUAUCAACAUUUACGCAAACUGAACAUUGAUCCGACUCCAAAUUUGUUAAAAUUUUAUUAUUGCUUAUUAACUCAACCCACACAAUAAAAAUUUAGUUGUACAUAUUAAUACAAUAUAUCUUGUAAUAGCAUUGUUAUUGUAAAGGUUUUACAGGCUGAUACGUAUUAAUAAGUAACGUUACAUUAGGCUACUGACUGAUUGUCUUUUUUUAAGACAAAAAACGUUGCAACACUUUGGUGGGAAACAUGAUGUUGAGUAUACUUCAUAGUCAUAAAGUUUUAAAAGGUGCAAACAGUGUUUGGCUUCAGUGGCUUCAUGGGUUCCGAUACCUACCUGCCGCAUUGGCCCUCAUUUCUAAAUUCAAAUAUUUCACUUUUUUUUUUUUUUUAAACAAGCUAAACUUUUAAUUUAAAAAUAACUUUUUUAAAUGUCUCAAACUUAAUAUAUGAUAACUUAUUAUAGAGAGAGAGAAAAUAAGUGUAUUUGUGUUAAUGUGUGUUAUAGCUCUGAGGAGAACUCUGAAGUCUUUAGGAGAGUGUGUUUGUAGUCCCGCGGUCUGGCAGGUGUGGGAUGUUGUGCACUGUUGUUCAAUCUCCCGCCAAUAUUGCACUCGUCCCGGCCUCCCUGACCACGAGGAACACGCGACUCCCGCUGCAAUCUCCCGCCACGACAGCCGCUUAUGAAGAGCUCGAGCACUAGGGCGGCGCCAGACUGCAGGUUCUCCUCAUCCGGAGUGACACAGACGCUGGGUAAAUCUCUCAUCUGUCCUGGUUGUUUGGCCCCUCGCACACAGGAGUUCAGUGGCCCCACGCUGGGUUUCAGAGGGUCUAGAGAGAGAGACAGAGGGCGUCUCACUCCCCUCACACCUUUAUGUGCAUUAGAACCUGUUUACGGUGUGUACUGAAGUCCUCUGGAACAGUAUCUGGAAAAGAUAUGUUUCAUUUGCUUUGUGAGUGUGUUGUUUUAUUGUUGUAAUCCUCUUUUUUUUUUUGUCAAUAAACAACUUUUAUUCUGAA